rnacentral:sRNA from 1 species
UUUGAGUUAUGCUUCAGCAGUGGCCUCGCACGUUUAUUCGCCUGCGUUAGGCCGGCAGGCCUGUUGAUUUCGUAGGUCGACAGAGGAGAGGGGAAAAAAGGCCAGUAGAAGCAAUCUUAAAGGCACUUGCAAGCAAGCCCCGGUUGGGAACUCCACAAUGGGAGUAGAGUGGUCCUUGAUGGAAGGAACGUUUAAGAGUGUCGCCUAGCCAUCACCUGCAGUUCGCAACCUGUGGGUACACUAACCCGCGAAAAUUGGCAGGGUGGAGCAUUUUUGCCCCGGGGGUAUUCUCAGGCCACCUGGUUCCAGGCCUUAGAGACAGUGGGAGAAGAUGAGAAGGAAGACAGGAAAAGUUCUGGGCACUCCAGAGUUUUUAGAGUCCAGAAUCCAGCAACUUAAGGACAGUUUAAGAAUUCUCCCCAUCUGUGGUCAAUAAACAGAUUACAGUACCUAUAGCCAAGCUGCAGCGCAGCAGGGCUACAGUGCUUACACCGCCCAGCCCACUCAAGGAUAUGCACAGACCACCCAGGCAUAUGGGCAACAAAGCUAUGGAACCUAUGGACAGCCCACUGAUGUCAGCU